UAUCAGAACUGGCUAAUCAAUUUUUUGAGCAAUUGCUGAAGUGUUCAUCAAUUUUUAUGUUACGAUGCUAUUAAUGAGUCAUAAUUUUAUCAAUUUCCCUUAAAAAUUGACGAUGGAACUUCCUACUUCCCUGUCUAGUCUACGUUUGUGUGUUUUAUAGAUCCAAUCGUCCAAAUUAACUCAAAAUGCCGCCAGCUAAAGUGGUCCUUCUAGCAUGUGGCUCUUACAACCCACCCACAAAUCUGCAUUUUAGAAUGUUUGAGGUUGCAAGAGAUCAUCUACACAGACUGGGCAAUCAUAUUGUAGUGGGAGGUGUCAUAUCUCCUGUUCAUGACAAGUACGGAAAGAAAGAACUUGUUGCAUCAACGCACAGGGUCAAAAUGCUUCAGCUAGGUUUAGAAACUUCCAAUUGGAUACAUUUAUCAGACUGGGAAUGCAAUCAGCCAGGCUGGACUCGGACUCUUGAAGUCCUCCGAUAUCAUCAGAAUCAAAUCAAUGAUGCCAUGCAGUCAAGUGGAGGCGAAUCGAACAAUAAACGAGCCAGACAGGAAAAGAACUUACCUUGGUUACCGAACCUGGGCACGGAUGAAGUUGAUUCUGUUAAUAUGCCAAUUCAAGUUAAGCUUCUCUGUGGUGGUGACCUAUUGGAAUCCUUUGGCACACCUGGACUCUGGCGCGAUGAGGAUAUCAAAUGUGUCGUUGGUGACCACGGAAUCGUUGUCAUUACCAGGGCAGGUUCAGAUGCCUGCAAAUUCAUUUAUGAGUCCGAUAUGCUGACGAAGUACAUGAACAAUAUAACCAUAGUCACAGAAUGGAUCACAAAUGACAUUAGCUCAACUAAAAUUAGGCGUGCUUUUCGGAGAGGCGAUAGUGUGAAAUAUCUGAUCAAUGAAGCUGUUGAGCAGUACAUUAGAAGUCAUGGUCUUUACUCUUCAACUGCUAAGUACGAAUCUGUGAUUUCUAAAUCGGAUAGCUCUGAAAUCAUGCUCUCUGCCUUAAACUCAAGUGCUUCUAUUCCAAAAAUGAUUAUUACCGAGCCAGAUCAUGCUGAACCGGAGCAACGCACCAAAAAACCCAAAACAAACCGAAGGCCGAAAAAGACAAAACGCCCAAGAAAAGCAGCAGCUCAGUAAAAUCUCUACCUUGAAGACUUCAGACAGGUCAAAGGAGCCUCAAGUUGGUAUGAAAUCUUUCAUUCUAAAAAAAUGCAAACAUUUUCUGGACUCGAUCAGAAAAGUUGAUUUCUUGUUUAGCAAGUAGUUCGUUGAUGCUGUAAAUCAAGUCAAUACCCCCGCUUUAUACUUCGUAUUCAAUCGUGGUUUCAGAUACCUCAUUUUACAUUUGUUGUUCUGUGUCAUCGAGGUUUAUAUUGUCUUAGUUGUAUUGAGAGAAAAUUUAUAUAUUGACAUAUUUAUCAUUCGAAGCUAAUCUCAUAAGAAAAUUCGUUGCUCCAAUAGGCGCUCAUGGUGUUGAUCAUUCUCUCAGUGUCUUAUUAUUGCUCAUCAUUCAUUGUUAGUUGUUAUGUUGUAAUUUUUAUUAAAUUUUAAUUCUAUGGUGAUUUAAGCCAGUAUUUUUCUCUUUAUUAAGUUUUCUAGCACUCUGUUUGUUUUUCAUAUAAAAGAUACAAGGUAUAAAAUUCAAUGUUUCCUGUA